GAAGCACUGGUGUGAAUAAUGCAUGAGAGAGAAUCCCGCCUGCGCUGGCCUCCAGCGUCUCCGGGGGACUGGUUGCUGGGCAGGGCACCACAGGGCAGGGGGGAUCAAAGCAUUUGUUUUGCUCCUGCUUCAGAGAACAGGCUGCCUGCAAAUUACAGGUCGCCCCUCGGGCUGCCUGGGGGCAGAGAGGGAUGAAAAGAGAUGAAGGCUCGGACCAGCAUUCUGGAAUGCAAAUCUGGUGUCUAAUCGCAUCCUCACCAAAUGGCGAAGAUCACAACGUUGGAACUAGCUUGGGCUCAGAUCCAGUCUGCCCUUGAUCGUCUGGUGUAUCUAAUAUCUCUGGGCUCCUGUUUCCUGCUCCUAAAGUGGAACCAACAACACUGCUUGACCAGGGCUGUUAGAAAGCCAAGACCACGAAUGAGAAAUGUUGACCACCGUGACCACACACAGCUGGCGCUGUGCAGACAGGAGUGCCUCCCUUCUCAGAGCUCCACCUUCCCCUCUGCAAGGGAAUGAAUCUCCAAUCAUUUUACCCUGAUGGGCCCCAUCUACUGCCUGCCUCACAAUGACUAAGAAAACACAAAUAUAGAAGAAAAAAUACAUUCAUGAAAUGAACACAGCAUGCGGAAUCAAAGAUCUCGACCUAUGAGAAAACGUAACUCAGAAAAGGGAAGGGAAUGUGUCAUCAGGGUUUCAUGCUAUAGAAUGACUUGAUAGGAAUAUGAAUUUAAAAUGUAAAAGUUCAAACAAAAAAUAAUAAAACAACAGCAGGAGAUGAAAAAGAAAAUUUAGACGUAGGGUCCCAGUAGGAAACAGAAGCACACUGAUGGGAUUUAAUUACAGGGCGAGGGAUGUCACCCGAGUGCUGGUGACAGCAGGGAGCUGUGCCAGCCCCAGGCCCGCAAGGGCAGGCAAAGAGCCGGUGUCAUCAGGAGCAUGAAAGAAGGGCCCACCCGCCGUGGAGGACGCUGAGAGAGAUGGGCUGUGAGCUGGGUGCUGGCUGCCUUGAAUGAAACUGAGGUUUACAGCUGAGAGUGAAGAGGAGGAUGUGAAUUGGGUAAACACAACAAUCCCUGCCACAAAUAGGCAACCUUUCCUCACUCUGCAAGUGCUGAGCACAUUGUGAAGGAUGAGGGGAAGGAGAAGAAAAGAAAGACGAAAGUGACGUAGAUGCCAAUAUUUAAAGAUUUGCAGUCUGAUAUGGAGACAAAUAUGUAAUCAAUGGGUUUCUCAGGGUCUCUGCUGCCCUCAUUAAAGUGUGUCUAAGGAUUGAUGUACACACACUAUUGUAUUUACAACAGAUAACCAACAAAGACCUGCUGUAGAGCACAGGGAACUCUGCUCAAUAUUCUGUAAUAACCUAAAGGGGAAAAGAAUUUGAAAAAGAAUAGAUGUAUGUAUAUAUAGACAUAUAUAUAUCAGAGAAGGCGAUGGCACCCCACUCCAGUAUGCUUGCCUGGAAACUCCCAUGGACGGAGGAGCCUGGUGGACUGCAGUCCAUGGGGUCGUGAACAGUCGGAUAUGACUGAGCGACUUCACUUUCACUUUUCACUUUCACGCAUUGGAGAAGGAACUGGCAACCCACUCCAGUGUUCUUGCCUGGAGAAUCCCAGGGCUGGGGGAGCCUGGUGGGCUGCUGUCCAUGGUGUCGCACAGAGUCGGACACGACUGAAG
ensembl:lincRNA